GUUCCUGACCCAUAGGAUCCCAUUAUGUGGGUCCCAGACCCAUAGAAUCCCAUUCCUGACCCAUAGACACCCCAUAGGGCCUCGUUAUGGGGGUCCCAGACCCAUAGGAUCCCAUUCCUGACCCAUAGGAUCCCAUUAUGUGGGUCCCAGACCCAUAGGAUCCCAUUCCUGACCCAUAGGAUCCCAUUAUGUGGGUCCCGAACCCAUAGGAUCCCAUUCCUGACCCAUAGGAUCCCAUUAUGUGGGUCCCAGACCCAUAGGAUCCCAUUCCUGACACAUAGGAUCCUAUUAUGUGGGUCCCAGACCCAUAGGAUCCCAUUCCUGACCCAUAGGAUCCCAUUAUGUGGGUCCCAGACCCAUAGGAUCCCAUUCCUGACCCAUAGGAUCCCAUUAUGUGGGACCCAGACCCAUAGGAUCCCAUUCCUGACCCAUAGGAUCCCAUUAUGUGGGUCCCAGACCCAUAGGAUCCCAUUCCUGACCCAUAGGAUCCCAUUAUGUGGGACCCAGACCCAUAGGAUCCCAUUCCUGACCCACAGAAUCCCAUAAUGUGGGUUCCAGACCCAUAGGAUCCCAUUAUGGGGGUCCCAGACCCAGAGGGUCCCGUUCCUGACCCAUAGGAUCCCAUUAUGUGGGUCCCAGACCCAGAGGGUCCCGUUCCUGACCCAUAGGAUCCCAUUAUGUGGGACCCAUAGGACCCCACAGGACCCCAUAAUGCCCCCACAGGACCCCAUAGAACCCUAUAAUGUGGGUCCAGGACCCCAUAGGACCCCAUAGAACUCCAUAGGAACCCACAGGACCCCAUAGUGUGGAUCCAGGACCCCAUA
ensembl:lncRNA